GAUGAACGCUGGCGGCGUGCCUAAUACAUGCAAGUCGAGCGAACAGACGAGGAGCUUGCUCCUCUGACGUUAGCGGCGGACGGGUGAGUAACACGUGGAUAACCUACCUAUAAGACUGGGAUAACUUCGGGAAACCGGAGCUAAUACCGGAUAAUAUAUUGAACCGCAUGGUUCAAUAGUGAAAGACGGUUUUGCUGUCACUUAUAGAUGGAUCCGCGCCGCAUUAGCUAGUUGGUAAGGUAACGGCUUACCAAGGCAACGAUGCGUAGCCGACCUGAGAGGGUGAUCGGCCACACUGGAACUGAGACACGGUCCAGACUCCUACGGGAGGCAGCAGUAGGGAAUCUUCCGCAAUGGGCGAAAGCCUGACGGAGCAACGCCGCGUGAGUGAUGAAGGUCUUCGGAUCGUAAAACUCUGUUAUUAGGGAAGAACAAAUGUGUAAGCAACUAUGCACGUCUGGACGGUACCUAAUCAGAAAGCCACGGCUAACUACGU
rnacentral:rRNA from 1 species